GCGAUACUGUAGAGCUAGGAAUUAGGUUGCUGUGGGCCGGAAAUGUGUGGUGUAGCGGUGAAAAUGCUUAGAGAUCACACAGAAUAUCGAUUGCGAAAGGCAGCUCACAAAGCCUAAAUUGACGCUGAGGCACGAAAGUGUGGGGAUCGAACAGGAUUAGAUACCUUGGUAGUCCACACUGUAAACGAUGAUAACUCGCUGUCGGCGAUAUACAGUCGGUGGCCAAGCGAAAGCGAUAAGUUAUCCACCUGGGGAGUACGACCGCAAGGUUGAAACUCAAAGGAAUUGACGGGGGCCCGCACAAGCGGAGGAACAUGUGGUUUAAUUCGAUGAUACGCGAGGAACCUUACCCGGGCUCGAACGGUGCAUGAAUGUCAGAGAGAUUUGACAGUCCUUCGGGACAUGUAUCGAGGUGCUGCAUGGUUGUCGUCAGCUCGUGCCGUGAGGUGUCGGCUUAAGUGCCAUAACGAGCGCAAC
rnacentral:rRNA from 1 species